rnacentral:tRNA from 1 species
GCGGAUGUGGCGCAAUUUGGUAGACGCACAAGUCCGAGAAGCUUGUCGUUGGAGGUUCGAUCCCUCUCAUCCGCACCA